rnacentral:tRNA from 1 species
GCGAUUGUAGCUCAUAAAGAGCAUUGGUCUUGUAAGCCAAAGGUAGAAUUAUUUUAUUCCUAUCGCU